rnacentral:rRNA from 1 species
AUUGAACGCUGGCGGCAGGCUUAACACAUGCAAGUCGAGCGGUAACAGAGAGAAGCUUGCUUCUCUGCUGACGAGCGGCGGACGGGUGAGUAAUGCCUAGGAAUCUGCCUAGUAGUGGGGGAUAACUUGCCGAAAGGUAAGCUAAUACCGCAUACGUCCUACGGGAGAAAGGAGGGGACCUUCGGGCCUUUCGCUAUUAGAUGAGCCUAGGUCGGAUUAGUUAGUUGGUGAGGUAAUGGCUCCCCAAGACCGCGAUCCGUAACUGGUCUGGGUGGAGGAUGAGUCACACGGGAACUGAGACACGGUCCAGACUCCUACGGGAGGCAGCAGUGGGGGAUAGUGGACAAUGGGGGGAACCCUGAUCCAGCCAUGCCGCGUGUGUGAAGAAGGUCUUAGGAUUGUAAAGCACUUUAAGUUGGGAGGAAGAGCAGUUAACUAAUAUUUGACUGUUUUGACGUUACCGACAGAAUAAGCACCGGCUAACUUCGUGCCAGCCGCCGCCGUAA